rnacentral:snRNA from 1 species
AACCUCUUGUAGUUUCUAUAUCAAAAUUGGAAUAAUGCAAAGAUUAGCAUGACCCCUUCACAUGGCUGGUUCAUAUUUGUGAAAGUAUUGCAAAAAUUAA